AUCAAGUUUGAGAAGGUGAGGAGACAGAAGCACAGGAAGGCUAAAUAACUUGCCCAAGAGUCUGCAGCAGGAAGUGGCAGAGUUACCUCCUCCAAGAUGCCUUCCAGGAUCACCCAAGGUAAAACUGAUCACUCAGUCUCUCCUUUUGCCAACCUACCUGUGCCUUGUAUACGUUCCUAGUAUCACAGCACACUUCAUGUGUAUCACAGUUUAAUUGGCAGGAUUUUAAAAAAUUUCUUGGCGAUACAAAAAAAGGUACCUCUUACAGUCAAGAGCACUGGUGAAAUGCAGCUUCAUUUUUUAAACUUUUCAGAAUGAAGCAGUGCUUCACAUCUGGAGGCGACCUUAUCUCCCCUCCCACCACACACAUUAGCAGUAUUUGGUUCUGUCAGUUGGGGGGGAGGAUAUGCUGCUGGCAUCUACUGGGUAGAGGCCAGGGAUGCUACUAAACAUCCUACAGUACAUAGGACAACCCCAGAGCAAUCAUCCAGACAAAAACGUCAGUAGUGUGGAGGUGGAGAAACCCUAGUUCAGAGUAACAAUAUUUAUUCAGGUGAAUGCUAUGCUUUAUUUUUUUUUAUUUUAAAUCAAUCUUUUACAGUAUAUAGUGCGACCUAAUAUAUAUCAAUGUUUCCCAAACUUUGGCUUGUAGAGCAAGAAUAGCAAGUCUUGAGAAAUGCUCUUUCUUCAUUACCCCUCCCCCAUUUCCUUCCACUAGACUCCCCAGGGAAUGAAUGAAGCAAUGUUCCAGAUCAAAAUUGAAAGGCCAGAAGGUCUCAGAGAGAUUUGUGACCUUAAGCCAAUUAGGUUAAUGGCAAGGCCAAGACUGGACUCCAGAACCCCAGAUUUCCACCAACCCACUCAGCCUGGGAGGCAGCUGCUCUGUUCCCUGGCUAAAUCGGCCAACACCGUUUGGUACCUUAAGCGGAAACGUGCCCUACAAAGACGGGCUGCGUGGCUUAGCAGGAGUUUAACAUGAGUGUUCCUGCUUCAACACCCGGGACCCAGCCCGCUCUCACGCUACUUUAUGAGAGUUUAGGUUGACUCUGUGAGGCCCCCGAGCUCUGUGCGGAAAUGGAUUUACGCAAAAACAACUGCGAUUCAUAAGUGCGAAGGAACUUCAAAUAAAUGUAGGUGAUUUCGUCAUACAAAAGGCAGAGGGAACUUAAUACGUAUAUUUAAGGCUCUGGAGAAACGGCUUUUAAUUUGAAAGGGGUGGGAGGAGCUGUCCUCCGUCUCUAGAAGCUUCACAUGUGGAAAGGGCCAGAGGAAGGUUUUGGCAAAGCCCUUCUGCAUCUCCGUUCUGCAGUCAGGUGUGCCCCAGGUGGGCCCUGAGUUCCCUGUCCCAAGUACCUAAUCCCCGGAAUGUCACCUCCGUCAUUCCCACUCCGAGGUGCUGAAUCUCUGGGGGAAGCUCGACUUUGGAUCCUGCGACUCAGCCUCGUCUGCAUCCCGGUCCGCUGCCCUGCCCCAGGGGGAGCCUA